rnacentral:rRNA from 1 species
UACGUAGGGGGCAAGCGUUGUCCGGAUUUAUUGGGCGUAAAGAGCUCGUAGGCGGCUCGUCGCGUCGACUGUGAAAACUCGGGGCUUAACCCUGGGCUUGCAGUCGAUACGGGCGGGCUAGAGUUCGGUAGGGGAGACUGGAAUUCCUGGUGUAGCGGUGAAAUGCGCAGAUAUCAGGAGGAACACCGGUGGCGAAGGCGGGUCUCUGGGCCGAUACUGACGCUGAGGAGCGAAAGCGUGGGGAGCGAACAGG